rnacentral:rRNA from 1 species
GCAAGCCGAGCGGUAGAGUUUCUUCGGAAACUUGAGAGCGGCGUACGGGUGCGUAACACGUGUGCAACCUACCUUUAUCUGGGGGAUAGCCUUUCGAAAGGAAGAUUAAUACCCCAUAAUAUAAUGAUUGGCAUCAAUUAUUAUUGAAAACUCCGGUGGAUAGAGAUGGGCACGCGCAAGAUUAGAUAGUUGGUGAGGUAACGGCUCACCA